CCUACGGGAGGCAGCAGUGAGGAAUAUUGGUCAAUGGGCGCUAGCCUGAACCAGCCAAGUAGCGUGAAGGAUGACUGCCCUAUGGAUUGUAAACUUCUUUUAUAUGGGAGUAAAGUGCAGUACGUAUAGUGCUUGGCAAGUACCUGAUGAAAAAGGAUCGGCUAACUCCGUGCCAGCAGCCGCGGUAAUACGGAGGAUGCGAGCGUUAUCCGGAUUUAUUGGGUUUAAAGGGAGCGUAGGCGGGUUGUUAAGUCAGUGGUUAAAGUGUGCGGCUCAACCUUAAGAUUGCAGUUGAAACUGGCAUUCUUGAGUACAGUAGAGGUAGGCGGAAUGCGUGGUGUAGCGGUGAAAUGCUUAGAUAUCACGAAGAACUCCGAUUGCGAAGGCAGCCUGCUGGACUCUAACUGACGCUGAUGCUCGAAAGUGUGGGUAUCGAACAGGAUUAGAUACCCGUGUAGUC
rnacentral:rRNA from 1 species